CCUACGGGGCGCAGCAGUGGGGAAUAUUGGACAAUGGGCGAAAGCCUGAUCCAGCCAUGCCGCGUGAGUGAAGAAGGCCUUCGGGUUGUAAAGCACUUUCAGUGGGGAAGAAAGCCUUGGGGCUAAUACCCUCGAGGAAGGACAUCACCCACAGAAGAAGCACCGGCUAACUCCGUGCCAGCAGCCGCGGUAAUACGGAGGGUGCGAGCGUUAAUCGGAAUUACUGGGCGUAAAGCGCGCGUAGGCGGUCUGAUAAGCCGGUUGUGAAAGCCCCGGGCUCAACCUGGGAACGGCAUCCGGAACUGUCAGGCUAGAGUGCAGGAGAGGAAGGUAGAAUUCCCGGUGUAGCGGUGAAAUGCGUAGAGAUCGGGAGGAAUACCAGUGGCGAAGGCGGCCUUCUGGACUGACACUGACGCUGAGGUGCGAAAGCGUGGGUAGCAAACAGGAUUAGAUACCCCAGUAGUC
rnacentral:rRNA from 1 species